rnacentral:rRNA from 1 species
UACGUAGGUGGCAAGCGUUGUCCGGAUUUACUGGGCGUAAAGGGCGUGCAGGCGGUUUGUUAAGUGCAGGGUGAAAGCUCCCGGCUCAACUGGGAGAGGUCCUUGCAUACUGGCGAACUCGAGGGAGGCAGAGGAAAGUGGAAUUCCCGGUGUAGUGGUGAUAUGCGUAGAUAUCGGGAGGAACACCUGUGGCGAAGGCGGCUUUCUGGGCCUUACCUGACGCUGAGACGCGAAAGCGUGGGGAGCGAACGGG